rnacentral:rRNA from 1 species
GAGUUUGAUCAUGGCUCAGACGAACGCUUGCGACGUGCCUAAGAAAUGCAAGUCGAACGGGGAGCAAUCCCAGUGGCGAACGGUCGCGUAACACGUGGGCAACCUGCCCUGAAGCGGNGGACAACAGUCCGAAAGGGCUGCUAAUACCGCAUGUGAAGGGAGAAGGCAUCUUCUCUUGUUCAAAGCUUAAUGCACUUCAGGAUGGGCCCGCGGCCUAUCAGCUARUUGGUGAGGUAACGGCUCACCACRGCUUCGACGGGUAGCUGGUCUGASAGGACGAUCAGCCGGAUUGGGACUGAGAUACGGCCCAGACUCCUACGGGGGGCAGCAAUUAGGAAUCUUGCGCAAUGGGGGCAACCCUGACGCAGCGACGUCGCGUGGAGGAUGAAAUCUUUCGGGAUGUAAACUCCUUUUCUCAGGGAAGAAAACAAUGUACCUGAGGAAUAAGCCCCGGCUAACUACGUGCCAGCAGCCGCGGUAAUACG